rnacentral:rRNA from 1 species
UACGGAAGGCAGCAGUGGGGAAUAUUGCACAAUGGGCGAAAGCCUGAUGCAGCUAUGCCGCGUGUAUGAAGAAGGCCUUAGGGUUGUAAAGUACUUUCAUCGGGGAGGAAAAAACAAAACUAAUAAUUUUAUUUCUUGACGUUACCCGAAAAAGAAGCACCGGCUAACUCCGUGCCAGCAGCCGCGGUAAUACGGAGGGUGCUAGCGUUAAUCAGAAUUACUGGGCGUAAAGAGCACGUAGGUGGUUUUUUUAAAGUCAGAUGUGAAAUCCCUGGGCUUAACCUAGGAACUGCAUUUUGAAACUGAAAUACUAGAGUAUCGUAGAGGGAGGUAGAAUUCUAGGUGUAGCGGUGAAAUGCGUAGAUAUCUGGAGGAAUACCUGUGGCGAAAGCGGCCUCCUAAACGAAUACUGACACUGAGGUGCGAAAGCGUGGGGAGCAAACAGGGAUUUAGAUACC